UCAGAAUGGAGCCCAAUCCCAACCUGAAC
rnacentral:piRNA from 1 species